UUUCUAAAAGAAAAUAGCAAGGAUCAACAUGGCUACAAAUGAGGAGGUGCAAGAUAUUCUCGGCAAGUUGUGGACCAAACUGCAAGGGCUGCCGGAAGCCAAUUCACUGGAUCUGGGGGCCUUCUUAGUGAUUAUCCUUUUUAUUGUUACAGUCCUCGCCAUGGUCGCCCUUACCUGUGCCCAAUUCUGCAGCUGUGCACAGUCAAAAUACCAGGCCUCCAGAGUGCAACCAUUAUGAGUGUCUGAAGAUCAAAUGGCACAUCAGCGUUAAGAAAAUGUUGCUCUACUACCAACAUGAACACAUAUUGGAAGCCCUCCUUUUCAGAGUUCUGGUGGGAUUACCAACAGAUAUUUGUCAUGGGAAGGAUGAACAUUUCAACAAUUCCAGCUUUUUGGAUCAAAAUUGCAAUCAUGGACUCCAUAUGACACAAAGAAACAUUGUUGGACUCAACUAAAUGGUAAAACGUAAAGAAGUACUUGAAGCAUUCCAGACUUCUUACUCAGGUUAUUCAUUAGGCUAGAGCGUAAUAUUAAAAAACAUGCAUGCCAACUGUUUAUAUUCUGUUCACAUUUCCAAGUAGUUUGUGUUGAACACUGGGGCGCUAUCUGCUGAUCAAUUUAGAGUUGGCCGGUCACUAUGAAUGCCGCAUACUGUAAAAUCAAAGGAUUUGGGGGGCCAUUUAGAUAUUUUUUUAUUUUUUAAUCAAGGUAAAAGCAACCCGGUUUGCUAAAAACGUAUGUUUAUUGAAAACAGCCAGCAUGUCUGUUGUGUGUUAUAACUGACACAGUAUCAAUAUUUUUUAUAAUUGUUAACAUACAUUUUUCCUGUUAUAUUCCUUUACUUUUUAUGUCGUUUAGUCGUCUGUUUACUGUCCCACAUUAAACCAAAUAUGUUGAGAGUUGUACAAAACAAUCCCUUUAUAAUUUUCAUUCUUUGGAUUCUAUGUAAUAAUAUGGUCUGUCUAAUAAAUUGUGAUACAUUUAAA